AAUACAUGCAAGUCGAACGCUUUGUGGUUCAACUGAUUUGAAGAGCUUGCUCAGAUAUGACGAUGGACAUUGCAAAGAGUGGCGAACGGGUGAGUAACACGUGGGAAACCUACCUCUUAGCAGGGGAUAACAUUUGGAAACAGAUGCUAAUACCGUAUAACAAUGACAACCGCAUGGUUGUUAUUUAAAAGAUGGUUCUGCUAUCACUAAGAGAUGGUCCCGCGGUGCAUUAGCUAGUUGGUAAGGUAAUGGCUUACCAAGGCGAUGAUGCAUAGCCGAGUUGAGAGACUGAUCGGCCACAAUGGGACUGAGACACGGCCCAUACUCCUACGGGAGGCAGCAGUAGGGAAUCUUCCACAAUGGGCGAAAGCCUGAUGGAGCAACGCCGCGUGUGUGAUGAAGGGUUUCGGCUCGUAAAACACUGUUGUAAGAGAAGAAUGACAUUGAGAGUAACUGUUCAAUGUGUGACGGUAUCUUACCAGAAAGGAACGGCUAAAUACGUGCCAGCAGCCGCGGUAAUACGUAUGUUCCAAGCGUUAUCCGGAUUUAUUGGGCGUAAAGCGAGCGCAGACGGUUAUUUAAGUCUGAAGUGAAAGCCCUCAGCUCAACUGAGGAAUUGCUUUGGAAACUGGAUGACUUGAGUGCAGUAGAGGAAAGUGGAACUCCAUGUGUAGCGGUGAAAUGCGUAGAUAUAUGGAAGAACACCAGUGGCGAAGGCGGCUUUCUGGACUGUAACUGACGUUGAGGCUCGAAAGUGUGGGUAGCAAACAGGAUUAGAUACCCUGGUAGUCCACACCGUAAACGAUGAGUGCUAGGUGUUUGAGGGUUUCCGCCCUUAAGUGCCGCAGCUAACGCAUUAAGCACUCCGCCUGGGGAGUACGACCGCAAGGUUGAAACUCAAAGGAAUUGACGGGGACCCGCACAAGCGGUGGAGCAUGUGGUUUAAUUCGAAGCAACGCGAAGAACCUUACCAGGUCUUGACAUCCCUUGACAACUCCAGAGAUGGAGCGUUCCCUUCGGGGACAAGGUGACAGGUGGUGCAUGGUUGUCGUCAGCUCGUGUCGUGAGAUGUUGGGUUAAGUCCCGCAACGAGCGCAACCCUUAUUACUAGUUGCCAGCAUUCAGUUGGGCACUCUAGUGAGACUGCCGGUGACAAACCGGAGGAAGGUGGGGAUGACGUCAAAUCAUCAUGCCCCUUAUGACCUGGGCUACACACGUGCUACAAUGGCGUAUACAACGAGUUGCCAACCCGCGAGGGUGAGCUAAUCUCUUAAAGUACGUCUCAGUUCGGAUUGUAGGCUGCAACUCGCCUACAUGAAGUCGGAAUCGCUAGUAAUCGCGGAUCAGCACGCCGCGGUGAAUACGUUCCCGGGUCUUGUACACACCGCCCGUCACACCAUGAGAGUUUGUAACACCCAAAGCCGGUGGGGUAACCUUCGGGAGCCAGCCGUCUAAGGUGGGACAGAUGAUUAGGG
rnacentral:rRNA from 1 species